GGGGAUUUGGCUCAGUGGUAGAGCGCCUGCCUAGGAAAGGUCCUGGGUUCAAUCCCCAGCCCCG
rnacentral:tRNA from 1 species